rnacentral:rRNA from 1 species
GACGAACGCUGGCGGCGUGCUUAACACAUGCAAGUCGAACGGAAAGGCCCUUCGGGGUACUCGAGUGGCGAACGGGUGAGUAACACGUGGGUGAUCUGCCCUGCACUUUGGGAUAAGCCUGGGAAACUGGGUCUAAUACCGGAUAUACCUCAUGGACUGCAUGGUUUGUGGGGGAAAGCUUUUGCGGUGUGGGAUGGGCCCGCGGCCUAUCAGCUUGUUGGUGAGGUUACGGCUCACCAAGGCGACGACGGGUAGCCGGCCUGAGAGGGUGACCGGCCACACUGGGACUGAGAUACGGCCCAGACUCCUACGGGAGGCAGCAGUGGGGAAUAUUGCACAAUGGGCGCAAGCCUGAUGCAGCGACGCCGCGUGAGGGAUGACGGCCUUCGGGUUGUAAACCUCUUUCAGCAGGGACGAAGCGCAAGUGACGGUACCUGUAGAAGAAGGACCGGCCAACUACGUGCCAGCCGCCGCCGUAAGAC